UGCACGGGUCUUCACGGAUAGUCUUCCGUCGAUUGAAUUCCCGUGGGAGUCGGAUCCUCCGUCGUGAUCGAGAUCCCAACGGAUUCACCCCGGCAUUCCGAGAUAGAUCCUGAUGAAUCCACUCAGGCAUCUCUCCUUCCAGAGCCGCCCUCCCUUCUCUCACCGUUGGAGACCUCCCGGAAGGGAUGAGGGCAUUGCUCUAGAUCUUAGGAUUUGGCUGCAAAAUGAUGACAUGGUUUAUUUUGAAGAUUUACUUGGAUUGGGAGGUUUGGAAAUAAAAAAUAAAGGUCAAAAGCAAAAGAGGAGUACAAAGUUUUGGUUGCAACAUUCAUUUCUUCAAGAUGUGCUGCUUCAUGCAAAUAAAGCAUUUUAGGGAGCCUAAGAAAAAGUGGGGAGAGGGAAGAGAGUCUGACCUGUUGUUCACAGAUUUGAUAAAUGACUCAGUCAUAUUGCAGGCCACAGGAAGAGUAGGUGACCACCUCGCUGCCGGAGAUAGAGGCUUGAAAAAUGGCACAUUGAUCAUCCAAACCUCUAACUUGCUAGAGACAUUCAACAACCAAGUAAUCCUUUUUGACUUUGAGGAGCUGGAUUUUGUGUUGUGAGACUCUUGCUUGAGGUUGGCACUGAAACUAGAAUGUCCCAUAGUUUUUUUUUCCCGGAAGUCUAGAGUCUUGACAAUAUCUUUCUCUUUUUUUCUUUUUUUUCUCUCUCUCUUUUUUGGAAGUGUAUGGAGGAGGAAGGACUCCUCCCCUGUUCCUUUAUUUGCUUACCUGGGUGUGUAAAGAAUGAUAUAUUUACAUUAAGUCUGCCAGUCCACGCCUGGUCACAUCACCAACUUUUUAUGAGAGUCAUUUCAGUGAGCAUUACA